UACGUAGGGGGCGAGCGUUGUCCGGAUUUAUUGGGCGUAAAGAGCUCGUAGGCGGUCUGUCGCGUCGGUAGUGAAAACUCAGGGCUUAACCCUGAGCCUGCUUCCGAUACGGGCAGACUAGAGGUAUGCAGGGGAGAAUGGAAUUCCUGGUGUAGCGGUGAAAUGCGCAGAUAUCAGGAGGAACACCAGUGGCGAAGGCGGUUCUCUGGGCAUUACCUGACGCUGAGGAGCGAAAGUGUGGGGAGCGAACAGG
rnacentral:rRNA from 1 species